rnacentral:rRNA from 1 species
CCUGCCUCAUACAGGGGGAUAGCAGCUGGAAACGGCUGAUAAUACCGCAUAAGCGCACAGCAUCGCAUGAUGCCGUGUGAAAAACUCCGGUGGUAUGAGAUGGACCCGCGUCUGAUUAGCUGGUUGGUGAGGUAACGGCCCACCAAGGCAACGAUCAGUAGCCGGCCUGAGAGGGUGACCGGCCACAUUGGGACUGAGACACGGCCCAAACUCCUACGGGAGGCAGCAGUGGGGAAUAUUGCACAAUGGGGGAAACCCUGAUGCAGCGACGCCGCGUGAAGGAAGAAGUAUCUCGGUAUGUAAACUUCUAUCAGCAGGGAAGAUAAUGACGGUACCUGACUAAGAAGCCCCGGCUAACUACGUGCCAGCAGCCGCGGUAAUACGUAGGGGGCAAGCGUUAUCCGGAUUUACUGGGUGUAAAGGGAGCGUAGGCGGCGGAGCAAGUCAGAAGUGAAAGCCCGGGGCUCAACCCCGGGACGGCUUUUGAAACUGCCCUGCUUGAUUUCAGGAGAGGAAAGCGGAAUUCCUAGUGUAGCGGUGAAAUGCGUAGAUAUUAGGAGGAACACCAGUGGCGAAGGCGGCUUUCUG